rnacentral:rRNA from 1 species
GAUGAACGCUGGCGGCGUGCCUAAUACAUGCAAGUCGAGCGAACGGACGAGAAGCUUGCUUCUCUGAUGUUAGCGGCGGACGGGUGAGUAACACGUGGAUAACCUACCUAUAAGACUGGGAUAACUUCGGGAAACCGGAGCUAAUACCGGAUAAUAUUUUGAACCGCAUGGUUCAAAAGUGAAAGACGGUCUUGCUGUCACUUAUAGAUGGAUCUGCGCUGCAUUAGCUAGUUGGUAAGGUAACGGCUUACCAAGGCAACGAUGCAUAGCCGACCUGAGAGGGUGAUCGGCCACACUGGAACUGAGACACGGUCCAGACUCCUACGGGAGGCAGCAGUAGGGAAUCUUCCGCAAUGGGCGAAAGCCUGACGGAGCAACGCCGCGUGAGUGAUGAAGGUCUUCGGAUCGUAAAACUCUGUUAUUAGGGAAGAACAUAUGUGUAAGUAACUGUGCACAGCUUGACGGUACCUAAUCAGAAAGCCACGGCUAACUACGUG